rnacentral:rRNA from 1 species
UACGUAGGUGGCAAGCGUUGUCCGGAUUUACUGGGCGUAAAGAGCGCGCAGGCGGCCAAGUCAGUCGAAUGUGAAAGCCCCCCGGCUCAACUGGGGAGGGUCAUUCGAUACUGCUCGGCUCGAAGACAGGAGAGGGAAGUGGAAUUCUCGGUGUAGAGGUGAAAUUCGUAGAUAUCGAGAGGAACACCGGCGGCGAAGGCGGCCCAACUGGACCAACACUGACGCUGAGACACGAAAGCGUGGGGAGCAAACAGG